rnacentral:tRNA from 1 species
GGAGGAUUAGUCCUAACUGGUAAGGCAGCGGUCUUGAAAACCGCCGGGCUCUGCCCUUGGGGGUUCGAAUCCCUCAUCCUCCG